rnacentral:rRNA from 1 species
AGAACGACUCUCGGCAACGGAUAUCUCGGCUCUCGCAUCGAUGAAGAACGUAGCGAAAUGCGAUACUUGGUGUGAAUUGCAGAAUCCCGUGAACCAUCGAGUCUUUGAACGCAAGUUGCGCCCGAGGCCUACCGGCCAAGGGCACGCCUGUCUGGGCGUCACGC